GCAAGUCGAACGAGAAAGGGGAGCAAUCCCUGAGUAAAGUGGCGUACGGGUGAGUAACACGUGGGUAAUCUACCUCUGGGUGGGGAAUAACCCUGGGAAACCGGGGCUAAUACCGCAUAACACUGAAAGGUCAAAGGCGCAAGUCGCCUGGAGAGGAGCCCGCGGCUGAUUAGCUAGUUGGUGGGGUAAAGGCUCACCAAGGCAAUGAUCGGUAGCCGGCCUGAGAGGGCACAC
rnacentral:rRNA from 1 species